GCCAUCAGAUCCGCCGUUUCAUAGGAGACCCCACCCCCCUGUAUUUCAUCUUAUUUGAACCAUACACCCCCGAAACCAACGACCCUUUUCUCCUUCAGCACACCCAGCGACCAGAACUCCCCAUCGCUGUUCUUCUUCUUCUCACCAUCAUGCCCACUGAAAAUUGACCCUUUUCUUUCUCCAAAACCAGCGACCACCCCGUCUCCAGCCAUUCCCAACAGCCGAAACUCACCCCUAAUUUUCCAAAAUUUGCAGCAGUCGACACCCGCACUCCAAGAAACGAAUCAUAUUUAGAUGUUUUUCAUUUCUUGUCCAGCGAGCUCGCUGGAAAAUGAGUUGCACACCAGCGCCGCUCACACACACGACAACUACCGGAAAAUCUCCCCAAAAAUAGUCCAAAAGCAACCCUAAAACAGCUCGUCUUUCCAGCGAAAAUUAGCUACAAGACCAGCUGAAAAACAACACAAACCAACAUCAAAAAUCAGUACUGAAACCCAGCUGAAAACGUUCCAAAAUCGCCUCAAAGUUCUGUCUAUCUCCGAGUUCGAGGUUGCGGAUCCGAGUUCCGGUUGCGGUGUGGUCAUAAUUCAAUCGGAGCGGAUUAUUUGGUGUACACUCUGCUGUAAUUUUAAUUAAAUUUGUUUGAAGUUCUCUUUAAAAAAAAGAUCUGUUCCUAUUUCUAUGUUUUUUUCUGCUUUAGUCAUUUUCUGUUUUCAAUUCAAUGUUCCAUUGCUCUUAACGUGUUGGGUCUGUUUGGGUAGUCCCAUGUGAUGAUAAAGGUGAAAUCAAAGUAGCUUUUAGAAUUAAGCUUGUUGAAUCCUUUCUGACUGAGCUACUGUUUUAGUAGAUUCAAAAUUAGCUAGUUUGGUGAUGAUUUGUUUAUGUUGGUUUAGUGAUUUGAACAAUGGAAUUGUGAAGUCCAAGAUCAAACUUCUGCUCAUUUCAUUUUCUUCUCGACAUAUGAAUUUGGGUUAUCAAAUAAAGUGAUUGAAUGAAAAACCGUAGACUUUUAUGUAAUGUUUUUAGAGAAGAUGAAUUGUUUCAUUACUGAAGUGAUUAAAUAAUUGUAGCAAUAGUUGUGCUUAAUGUCACGACCCAAACUGGAGGGCCAUGACUAGCACCCGACCAUACUUGCCGAGCUCCAACACACAUUUUAUCUAACCUUUUUUUUAUUAUCUUUUAGGGUUGACGAGAUCAAUAUAAAUGGUAGACAUGGAUCAUAGACAACCAACAAUAAAAUAUGAUGGCAUGAACAUACAUAACAUGAGAUGACCAGACAAUCAAGAAACUACAUAUAAGGUACGAGCUACCACGAUACCAUGAAAGACUAUACAACAAAAGCUAGCCCCAAGGCAUACCAAACUAUACAUGAGUCGACACCUGUCUAUGAGCCUCUAAAUGAACAUAAGUGUUGCAACAUAGCCGGAACAAGGGCCCAACAUACCCAUAAUGUCUAUACAAAAAUGCAUAUCAAGACCACGGCAAGUCCGGAGAAGGGAUCUCGCCAAUCACUGCUGAACUGGACAACCUAAUGUGGUAGGGGAGCUGCACCUGCCUGUCUAUCAUGGCCUACAAUACGACAUGCAUCGUCCACAAACAAAAGGACGUCAGUACGAAUAAAGUAUGUAAGGCAAGGAACCAUAAAUACGAACAUCAAUGUAAGUAGGGAUAAAGAAUAUGNNNN
rnacentral:lncRNA from 1 species